GUUGAACGCUGGCGGCGUGCUUAACACAUGCAAGUCGAGCGGUAACAGGUGUAGCAAUACAUGCUGACGAGCGGCGAACGGGUGAGUAAUGCUUUGGAAUCUUCCUCGGAGUGGGGAAUAACCUGGGGAAACUCAGGCUAAUACCGCAUACGAACUACGGUUGAAAGCAGGGGAUCGCAAGAACUUGCGCUAUGAUAUGAGCCGAAGUCGGAUUAGCUAGUUGGUAGGGUAACGGCCUACCAAGGCGACGAUCCGUAGCUGGUCUGAGAGGAAGACCAGCCACACUGGGACUGAGACACGGCCCAGACUCCUACGGGAGGCAGCAGUGGGGAAUAUUGGACAAUGGGGGCAACCCUGAUCCAGCGACGCCGCGUGUGUGAAGAAGGCCUGCGGGUUGUAAAGCACUUUUAGUGGGGAUGAAAAGCCAAGGGUUAAUACCCUUUGGUCUUGACCUAACCCAAAGAAAAAGCACCGGCUAACUCUGUGCCAGCCGCCGCAGUAA
rnacentral:rRNA from 1 species